rnacentral:rRNA from 1 species
UAGGGAAUAUUGGGCAAUGGACGGAAGUCUGACCCAGCCAUGCCGCGUGCAGGAAGAAGGUCCUCUGGAUUGUAAACUGCUUUAGACGGGGAAGAAUAAGGGAGAUGCGUCUCCUGAUGACGGUACCUGUAGAAUAAGCACCGGCUAACUACGUGCCAGCAGCCGCGGUAAUACGUAGGGUGCGAGCGUUGUCCGGAUUUAUUGGGUUUAAAGGGUGCGUAGGCGGGGGAAUAAGUUUGCUUUUAAAGCCGGCCGCUUAACGGUCAGGUAGGGGGCAGAUACUGUUUUUCUUGAGAUAUCUGGGGGCUGGCGGAAUUUGUGGUGUAGCGGUGAAAUGCAUAGAUACCACAAGGAACACCGAUAGCGUAGGCAGCUAGCCACGGAUUAUCUGACGCUGAGG